rnacentral:rRNA from 1 species
AGUGAACGCUGGCGGUAGGCCUAACACAUGCAAGUCGAACGGCAGCACAGUAAGAGCUUGCUCUUACGGGUGGCGAGUGGCGGACGGGUGAGGAAUACAUCGGUAUCUACUUUUUCGUGGGGGAUAACGUAGGGACACUUACGCUAAUACUGCAUACGACCUACGGGUGAAAGCAGGGGAUCUUCGGACCUUGCGCGAUUGUAUGAGCCGAUGUCGGAUUAGCUAGUUGGCGGGGUAAAGGCCCACCAAGGCGACGAUCCGUAGCUGGUCUGAGAGGAUGAUCAGCCACACUGGAACUGAGACACGGUCCAGACUCCUACGGGAGGCAGCAGUGGGGAAUAUUGGACAAUGGGCGCAAGCCUGAUCCAGCCAUACCGCGUGGGUGAAGAAGGUCUUCGGGUUGUAAAGCCCUUUUGUUGGGAAAGAAAAGCAGCAGGUUAAUACCCCGCUGUUCUGACGUUACCCAAAGAAUAAGCACCGGCUAACUUCGUG